UUAUAGUAUAAUUAAUCCUAAAAACACCUUAUCUCGUCACACGUAAUCAUAUACUGAAUUCUAUCUAGACUAGUGUUUAAUAAUCUAGRUAUCUUCCGUAUUAUGAUGUCCUCUAUCAGUGUGUCCUGUUAUGAUAAUUAAAUUUUAAAAUUUCGUUAUAGAUGUUGUUUAGAAUAUUCGUGUUUGUUCUGUAGUUAACUGUAUUAUUAUUUGUUAUAUGGUACAUUUCGCUUAUGUUUCUUUUGUACCAAUUGUCUUCUCUAUCUAAAAUGUCUGUCUCAUCAAAUUUGAACUUGUGUCCUGUUAUAAAAUGGUGCUCGGCUAACGCAGUAAUAUUAUUCUUUUGAGCAUUUGUUUGACAAACGGAAAGACCCAAGGAAGUGCCAGUAGGCACUUUAAUAAAAGAUCUAGAAGAAGGUAUAAAAAAUAUUUACAUCGAAAAUGUUGACACUAAAAUAAUAAAGGAUGAGCAAAAUAAUGUAAGAUCAAAAGCGAAUCCGAACUUAAUAAUAACAAGAUCGGAUAAAGGAAAUAACACAGUUAUCAUGGAAAAGGAAGAAUACAUCAAAGAAAUGAAAAAACUGUUGGAAGAUAGAAACACAUACAGUAUUUUAAGCAAGGAUCCUACCAACAGAUUUGARAAAUUGGCGAAUAAUUUAACAAUAAAAUUACAAAAUGAAUCCAUCAUCUAAUGUAUGACUCUGAAAAUAAAAUAAUAURUAUUGACGCGUGAACUAAGUGAUCAAGUUGCUGAGGAAGUCCCCAGUAAGGGACGAAACGUUCAACAAGGUCAUAAUAAAUUGUUCAUCAAAUUUA